GGCAGGUUGGUGGAGUGGUCUAACACGUGCGACUCAAGCUUUAGCUUGCUCUUUCAAAGAGUGUAUUCGCAUCUCGCAAGAGGCGUGGGUUCGAAUCCCACACCUGUCA